CCUACGGGAGGCAGCAGUGGGGAAUUUUGGACAAUGGGCGAAAGCCUGAUCCAGCAAUGCCGCGUGAGUGAAGAAGGCCUUCGGGUUGUAAAGCUCUUUUGUCAGGGAAGAAACGGUGGGAGCUAAUAUCUCUUGCUAAUGACGGUACCUGAAGAAUAAGCACCGGCUAACUACGUGCCAGCAGCCGCGGUAAUACGUAGGGUGCAAGCGUUAAUCGGAAUUACUGGGCGUAAAGCGUGCGCAGGCGGUUUUGUAAGUCUGAUGUGAAAUCCCCGGGCUCAACCUGGGAAUUGCAUUGGAGACUGCAAGGCUAGAAUCUGGCAGAGGGGGGUAGAAUUCCACGUGUAGCAGUGAAAUGCGUAGAUAUGUGGAGGAACACCGAUGGCGAAGGCAGCCCCCUGGGUCAAGAUUGACGCUCAUGCACGAAAGCGUGGGGAGCAAACAGGAUUAGAUACCCUGGUAGUCCACGCCCUAAACGAUGUCUACUAGUUGUCGGGUCUUAAUUGACUUGGUAACGCAGCUAACGCGUGAAGUAGACCGCCUGGGGAGUACGGUCGCAAGAUUAAAACUCAAAGGAUUGACGG
rnacentral:rRNA from 1 species